GACGAACGCUGGCGGCGUGCUUAACACAUGCAAGUCGAACGGAAAGGCCUCUUUCGGGGGGUACUCGAGUGGCGAACGGGUGAGUAACACGUGAGUAACCUGCCCUUGACUUUGGGAUAACUUCAGGAAACUGGGGCUAAUACCGGAUAGGAGCUCCUGCUGCAUGGUGGGGGUUGGAAAGUUUCGGCGGUUGGGGAUGGACUCGCGGCUUAUCAGCUUGUUGGUGGGGUAGUGGCUUACCAAGGCUUUGACGGGUAGCCGGCCCGAGAGGGUGACCGGCCACAUUGGGACUGAGAUACGGCCCAGACUCCUACGGGAGGCAGCAGUGGGGAAUAUUGCACAAUGGGUGGAAGCCUGAUGCAGCAGCGCCGUGUGCGGGAUGACGGCCUUCGGGUUGUAAACCGCUUUCGCUCAUGACGAAGCUUUGUGUGACGGUAGUGGGUAAAGAAGCACCGGCUAACUACGUG
rnacentral:rRNA from 1 species